rnacentral:lncRNA from 1 species
GUGUCCCCUCUUUCUUAAUCUUUUUAUUUUAUAUUCUGAAGUAUUUUCAAAAUUUCUUAAUGUUGCUGCUUAGUCAAAUUUUCUUCAGGGAUAUAGGAUUCUUGGUGCUCCAGAAAUUAUGCAUGUAUUUUAUGCUGAUGACUGUUUGCUUGUUGCUCGAGCUACGUUACAUAAUGCUAUAUGCCUUUCUACUAUUAUUAAUACUUAUUGCAUGUAUUUAAGGCAGGCUAUUAAUUAUGCAAAGUCUAAUAUUCUCUUUUUCUCAAGCAUUGGACGUACUACGAGGUAGCACAUUCUGC